rnacentral:misc_RNA from 1 species
GAUGAAGAACGCAGCGAAAUGCGAUAAGUAAUGUGAAUUGCAGAAUUCAGUGAAACAUCGAAUCUUUGAACGCACAUUGCGCCCCUUGGUAUUCCGAGGGGCAUGCCUGUUCGAGCGUCAUUAUAACCCCUCAAGCUCAGCUUGGUGUUGGGGCCUGCUGCACUGGCAGCCCUUAAAAUCAGUGGCGGCGCCAUCUGGCUCUAAGCGUAGUAAUUCUUCUCGCUAUGGAGUCCUGGUGGAUGCUUGCCAUCAACCCCCAAUUUUUCUAUGGUUGACCUCGGAUCAGGUAGGGAUACCCGCUGAACUUAAGCAUAUCAAUAAGCGGAGGA